GCUUAACGCGAAGAACCUUACCAGGCCUUGACAUGCACUGGACCGGCGCUGAAAGGUGCCUUCCCCGCAAGGGGCCGGUGCACAGGUGCUGCAUGGCUGUCGUCAGCUCGUGUCGUGAGAUGUUGCGUUAAGUCGCGCAACGAGCGCAACCCCUGUCCUUAGUUGCCAUCAUUCAGUUGGGCACUCUAGGGAGACAAACCCUCUUUGAGGGUGGGAAGGUGGGGAUGACGUCAAGUCAGGAUGGCCCUUACGGCCUGGGCUGCACACGUGCUACAAUGCUCGGUACAGAGGGAAGCAAUACCGUGAGGUGGAGCAAAUCCUCAAAACCGAGCCCAGUUCAGAUUGCAGUCUGCAAUUCGACUGCAUGAAGCCGGAAUCGCUAGUAAUGGCGUAUCAGCUACGACGCCGUGAAUACGUUCCCGGGUCUUGUACACACCG
rnacentral:rRNA from 1 species